UUGAACGCUGGCGGCAGGCCUAACACAUGCAAGUCGAGCGCGAAAAGUUUUCGGACUGAGUAAAGCGGCGGACGGGUGAGUAACGCGCGGGAAUCUGCCCAGUAGUGGGGGACAACAGCCGGAAACGGCUGCUAAUACCGCAUACGCCCGACGGGGGAAAGGGGGGGAUCUUCGGACCUCGCGCUAUGGGAUGAGCCCGCGGCGGAUUUGCUAGUUGGUGGGGUAAAGGCCUACCUAGGCUAAGAUCCGUAACCGGUGUGGGAGGAUGAUCAGUCACACUGGAACUGAGAAACGGUCCAGACUCCUACGGGAGGCAGCGGGUGGGAAUAUUGGACAAUGGGGGCAACCCUGAUCCAGCCAUGCCGUGUGUGUGAAGAAGGCCUUAGGGUUGUAAAGCACUUUCAGUGGGGAGAAAGGUUUGUCACCUAAUACGUGAUGAAAUUGAUGUUACCCACAGAAGAAGCACCGGCUAACUCCGUGCCAGCCGCCGCAGUAA
rnacentral:rRNA from 1 species